UCCCUGGUAGCUCAGAUGGUAAAGCGUCUGCCUGCAAUGCGGGAGACCCAGGUUCGAUCCCUGGGUUGGGAA
rnacentral:tRNA from 1 species